GAAGAGUUAGUUAAUUAAUAAUACGAGGUUGUCAAUCUUGAGUUACUAAUAUUUUAGUACUUUUCU
rnacentral:tRNA from 1 species